GUGGGGAAUAUUGGGCAAUGGGGGCAACCCUGACCCAGCGACGCCGCGUGAGGGAAGAAGGCCUUAGGGUCGUAAACCUCUGUUGUGUGGGAAGAAGAGCGUGACGGUACCACACGAGGAAGUCCCGGCUAACUACGUGCCAGCAGCCGCGGUAAUACGUAGGGGACGAGCGUUGUCCGGAUUUACUGGGCGUAAAGGGCGCGUAGGCGGUCAUUUAAGUCAGCUGUGAAAUGGUUUGGCUUAACCGGAUCAUGCGGUUGAAACUGGAUGACUGGAGUGCUGGAGAGGCAAGUGGAAUUCCCAGUGUAGCGGUGAAAUGCGUAGAUAUUGGGAAGAACACCGGUGGCGAAGGCGACUUGCUGGCCAGCAACUGACGCUGAGGCGCGAAAGCCAGGGGAGCAAACGGGAUUAGAUACCCUAGUAGUCC
rnacentral:rRNA from 1 species